UUCCCCGUGUAGAUGUAUUUCUGGUGUAUCUGUGGGGAGGAAGGUGAUCUCCGCGUCUUACGCUUCCUCCAUCUUCCCCUCAUCCCUGUUCUGUGAGUUCUUUAAAGGACAUGCCUGAGCUAACCCCCUGAUUCCAGAGGAGGAUGAGAGACAUAUGGUGCAUAGCUGAGUCACCUCAGCCAAGGCCAGCCUAGAUCAGCCAACCCCUAACCAAGCUGAGAUCAUAGCUGAGAUUUAGCAAAACUGUCCAAUGAAGCCCAGUUUGGAUCAUCACUGAGCCUUGCAGACAUGUGAGAAAUAAAUGUUUGUUGUUUUA